rnacentral:rRNA from 1 species
CCUACGGGAGGCAGCAGUGAGGAAUAUUGGUCAAUGGGCUUACGCCUGAACCAGCCAAGUCGCGUGAGGGAAGACUGCCCUAUGGGUUGUAAACCUCUUUUGUCAGGGAGCAACGCCGGCUACGUGUAGCCGGACUGAGAGUACCUGAAGAAAAAGCAUCGGCUAACUCCGUGCCAGCAGCCGCGGUAAUACGGAGGAUGCGAGCGUUAUCCGGAUGUAUUGGGUUUAAAGGGUGCGUAGGCGGAAUGCCAAGUCAGCGGUAAAAUCGCGGGGCUCAACCUCGCUCCGCCGUUGAAACUGGCGUUCUUGAGUGGGCGAGAAGUAUGCGGAAUGCGUGGUGUAGCGGUGAAAUGCAUAGAUAUCACGCAGAACUCCGAUUGCGAAGGCAGCAUACCGGCGCUCAACUGACGCUGAGGCACGAAAGCGUGGGGAUCGAACAGGAUUAGAUACCCUAGUAGUC